rnacentral:rRNA from 1 species
GCACAAGCAGCGGAGCGUGUGGUUUAAUUCGAUGCUACACGAAGAACCUUACCAGGGUUUGACAUGCAAGUGGUAGGAAGCCGAAAGGUGACCGACCCUUCGGGGAGCUUGCACAGGUGCUGCAUGGCUGUCGUCAGCUCGUGUCGUGAGAUGUUCGGUUAAGUCCGCUAACGAGCGCAACCCUCGCUGUGUGUUAUAUGUGUCACACGGGACUGCCGGUCUUAAGCCGGAGGAAGGUGGGGAUGAUGUCAAGUCCUCAUGGCCCUUAUGGGUAGGGCUUCACACGUCAUACAAUGGUCGGUACAGAGGGUUGCCAAGCCGCGAGGUGGAGCCAAUCCCAGAAAGCCGAUCGUAGUCCGGAUUGUUCUCUGCAACUCGAGAGCAUGAAGUCGGAAUCGCUAGUAAUCGCGGAUCAGCAUGUCGCGGUGAAUACGUUCCCGGGUCUU